AGACCUUAAAGUCCAGUGUUAGUAGGCUUACUAGAUUUAGGAACCACCAAAUUUAAAAAGACUUGUGACUCGGCAUGGUGGUUCACAUCUGUAAUUGUGGCACUUUGGGAGACCGAGGUGGGAGGAUUGCUGGAAGCCAGGAGUUGGAGACCACCUGGGCAACAAAGCGAUACUUGGUUUCUAUUAUAACAAACAAAACAAAACGAGAUUUGGUGUCUGCCAACUUAUUCAGCCAAGUAAGAGUGAUGAGCAACGUGCAGCUGCAGCGUUAGCAUCUGUUCUUUGUAUUCAGCUGGGCCCUGGAAUUGAAAGUGAAGAGAUUUUGAAAACUCUUGGACCAAUCCUAAAGAAAAUCAUUUGUGAUGGGUCAGCUAGUAUGCAGGCUAGGCAAACUUGUGCAACUUGCUUUGGUGUUUGCUGUUUUAUUGCCACAGAUGACAUUACUGAACUAUACUCAACUCUGGAAUGUUUGGAAAAUAUCUUCACUAAAUCCUAUCUCAAAGAGAAAGACACUACUGUUAUUUGCAGCACUCCUAAUACAGUGCUUCAUAUCAGCUCUCUUCUUGC
rnacentral:lncRNA from 10 species